rnacentral:lncRNA from 1 species
GUCAUUGCUACCUGGUGAUUGGCGUUUGGCUUAUAGUCAGCAGCCUACGCUGGGCUAGAGAGAAGGGGUGGAAAGCAAGCUUGGCUUAUAGCCAGUGCUGUGUAUGCAGCCAUAUAGUGAAUGCCUUCAUUUGCACCCUGAACUCUGAAUAGUCACUUUUAAAACAUCCAUCUGUCAUCCAUCUAGUGAGGUCAGGAGAGUGGCUGCUUAACUUCUGGGGGUUGCAGAAAAGGAAGAAGAAUCAGCAGAGAGCAUUUGUGGCCAGCAAAGCUUAAAAUAUUUCCUAACCGAUCCUUUGCAAAAAAAGUUCACCCACUCCUGUAGUCAGCAGCUCCCCUACUGUGCGCAGUCAGUGUGCCAUCUCAGACUAGCAAAGAUUUGUGCUUGGAUCAUCUACACUUCCCUGAAUGUUGAAGAAGAUAUGCUAUCCAUGCAAUCCUUGUCGACUGCUUGAUUAAAAAGUGGAUAAACUGUCUUCAGGCCCUUGGAGUAUGGUGUCUGUGUGAAGAAGGGAAUGAGGCAGAAGUAGCAGUCAGUGGUGGCUGAAGUAGGAGAAAGUGCUUGCUAAUGAAAUCUUGAUUUUUCUGUGGCUUUUCUGUGCAAUUGGGUGGCUAAGUAGGAAAGCCAUUGGAGCUUCACUGUAUCAAUUCUGCCUUUCUUGUUUUUUGGAACUCCAAUUCACCAAGGCUCCCUGCCACCCUAUCCAUCUAUAACUUUUCAUCACUUUUUCCUCAAAGUAAGAAGUGUGUCCCAGAAAAUGUGCCUUUGUGACUCAGCAACAUUUCAAAUCCAUCUGAGCCUUCCCAGCGUUCCAAAAGAAAUACUGAUUUGAAUUCAGCUGCUUAAAAAACCAGUCUCUAAGCAGACAGCUUGAAACUUCCUUACAGCAAUAGUUUAGGCUUUGGAGGGGAAAUUGGUUUGUUUUUAAUUGUUUUAAUUUUUCAUUCAAUUCAUUUGCCGCCUGAUUAUAUAUGAUCUUUUGAGCCCAAUACUCUGCUAAAUUAACCUUGACUUUCUUUCUCUCUUUCUCUCUCUCUCCUUCUCUCUUUCUUCCUUUCUUUCUUUCUUUUUGACAGAGCCUUGCUCUGUCGCCCAGGCUGGAAUGCAGUGGCACAAUCUCAGCUCACUGUAAACUCCGCCUCCAAAGUUCAAGCAAUUCUCCUGCCUCAGCCUCCUGUGUAGCUGGGAUUACACACGCCAGCCACCAUGCCUGGCUAAUUUUUGUAUUUUUAGUAAAGAUGGAGUUUCACCCUCUUGGCCAAGCUGGUCUCGAACUCCUGACCUCAACCUUGGCCUCUCAAAGUGCUGGGAUUACAAGCAUGAGCCACCAUGCCUGGCCUUACCUUGAUUUUUUUUUUUUGAGACAGAGUCUCACUCUGUUGCUCAGGCUGGAGUGUAGUGGCUCGAUCUUGGCUCACUGCAACCUCCAUCUCCCGGGUUCAAGAGAUUCUCCUGCCUCAGCCUCCCAAGUAGCUGGGACUACAGGUGUGGGCCACCACGCCUAGCUAAUUUUUUAUAUGUUUACUAGAGACAGGGUUUCACCAUGUUGGGCAGGCUGGUCUUGAACUCCUGACCUCAGGUGAUUCACCUGCCUCGGCCUCCCAAAAUGCUGGGAUUACAGGUGUGAGCCACCACACCCGGCCCCUACCUUUGAUUUUUAAGUCAAGAGGGAACAAGUCGAAAUUUCUAUUCAGGUAAACUGUAUACCUUUGGACACUGAAUCACUUUUAGAACCCCAGUAAAAAUCAUGUAUGAAUGACCCACAAUUUCACUCCAACAGGAAGGUGUGUAUAUGUGCACAAAAACAUUAGAUUGUUCACACCGGUGCUAUUCAUAAUAGUCAAAAACUGGAAACAACUCAAACAUCCAUCAACUGUAGAAUGGAUAAAUAAAUCAUGAUAUAUUCAUACCAUGGAACAUAACAGUGACAAUAAAUGAACCACUGCUACACACAACAGAUAUGAAUUUCACAAACAGAAUGCUGAGCAACAGAAGCCAAACACAGAAGGAUACACAUUUAUAAAUCCAUUUGUAUGAAGUUCAUAAACAGACAAAAUUAGUCAGUGGAGAUUAUUCUCAUAGAAGUCUGAAGGGUAGUUGUCUUUAGGGAGGGGGAUAUAGUGACUGAGGUGGGUAUAAGGGGUUUCUGGGGUUUGGUGAUGGUACACCAGCAUAUUCACUCUGAAAACUCAUUGAGCUGUGCAAUAAUGAUUUUUCAAACUUUUAUAUGUGUAUGAUAAUGCUUCAAUAAAGCUUUGCUUAAAAACACGCAUAGUCAUUGCUAUGGUGUGAAUGUUUGUGUGCCCCCGUUCACCAAAUUCAUAGGUUGAAAUCCUAACCCCCAAGGUGAUGAUAUUAGGAGU